rnacentral:rRNA from 1 species
AUACAACUUUCAGCAACGGAUCUCUUGGCUCUCGCAUCGAUGAAGAACGCAGCGAAAUGCGAUAAGUAAUGUGAAUUGCAGAAAUCAGUGAAUCAUCGAAUCUUUGAACGCACCUUGCGCUCCUUGGUAUUCCGAGGAGCAUGCCUGUUUGAGUGUC